rnacentral:rRNA from 1 species
UGGCCAGACUCCUACGGGAGGCAGCAGUGAGGAAUAUUGGUCAAUGGGCGUAAGCCUGAACCAGCCAAGUCGCGUGAGGGACGACGGCCCUACGGGUUGUAAACCUCUUUUGCCGGGGGACAAACGGCGGCACGCGUGCCGUCCUGAGGGUACCCGGAGAAAAAGCAUCGGCUAACUCCGUGCCAGCAGCCGCGGUAAUACGGAGGAUGCGAGCGUUAUCCGGAUUUAUUGGGUUUAAAGGGUGCGUAGGCGGGAUGCCAAGUCGGCGGUCAAAUACGGGGGCUCAACCUGCGUCCGCCGUUGAAACUGGCGUUCUUGAGUGGGCGAGAAGUACGCGGAAUGCGUGGUGUAGCGGUGAAAUGCAUAGAUAUCACGCAGAACUCCGAUUGCGAAGGCAGCUUACUAAACUAUAACUGACACUGAAGCACGAAAGCGUGGGGAUCAAACAGGAUUAGAUACCCGGUAAA